AAACGUAGGGGGCGAGCGUUGUCCGGAAUUACUGGGCGUAAAGGGCGUGUAGGCGGCUAGGUAAGUCAGGUGUGAAAACUCUGGGCUUAACCGAGAGAUUGCACCUGAAACUGCGUAGCUUGAGGGUAGGAGAGGAAAGUGGAAUUCCUAGUGUAGCGGUGAAAUGCGUAGAUAUUAGGAGGAACACCAGUGGCGAAGGCGACUUUCUGGCCUAACCCUGACGCUGAGGCGCGAAAGCGUGGGGAGCAAACAGGAUUAGAUACCCUGGUAGUCCACGCCGUAAACGAUGGGUACUAGGUGUAGGAGGUAUCGACCCCUUCUGUGCCGCAGCAAACGCAUUAAGUACCCCGCCUGGGGAGUACGGCCGCAAGGUUGAA
rnacentral:rRNA from 1 species